rnacentral:lncRNA from 1 species
AGGUCCCUUUGGUGGGACCAAGAGGACUACGGGGUGCUCCCCCGAGCGACCCCCCUCACCGCUCUCCUCUUUGCAGAGGCACUUUUUGGACGACCCCCCUUUGCCUCCCGCUCGUUUGCUGAGCUGGAGGAGAAGAUCCGCAGCGACCGAGCCAUCGAGGUAAUGUUGAGCUGGCAUGGGGUAGGGCCGCUGGGUUGUGCCACCUGGUGCCACCGCUGUCCCUGCCCAGCUGCCCAGCCGGCCCCCGCUGUCCCCAGAGUGCCGAGAUCUCCUGCAACGCCUCCUGGAGAGGGACCCCUUGAAGCGCAUCUCCUUCGAGGAGUUCUUCGCCCAUCCCUUUGUGGACAUGGAGCACAUGCCCGGCCCCGAGAGCUUCUGCAAGGCGACCAACCUGGUGGUGG